AUAUUACUUCCUCCGUCCGGAAUUACUUGUCACGGAAAUGGAUAAAAGUGGACGUGUCUAGAACUAAAAUGCGUCUAGAUAAAUCCAUUUCCCCGACAAGUAUUUUCGGGCGGAGGGAAUAUAUU
rfam:Triticum aestivum genome assembly, contig: Triticum_aestivum_CS42_TGACv1_scaffold_377139_5AL